AUUGAACGCUGGCGGCAGGCUUAACACAUGCAAGUCGAACGAGUGGCGGACGGGUGAGUAAUGCUUGGGAAUCUAGCUUAUGGAGGGGGAUAACUACGGGAAACUGUAGCUAAUACCGCGUACCAUAGGCUGAGCCCAAGUGGGAUUAGGUAGUUGGUGAGGUAAAGGCUCACCAAGCCGACGAUCUCUAGCUGGUCUGAGAGGAUGACCAGGCAACCUGGGACUGAGAAACGGCCCAGACUCCGACGGGGGGCAGCCGUGGGGAAACUUCCGCAAUGGGCGGAAGUUGACGGAGCAACGCCGCGUGAGUGAUGGCAGGCUUCGGGUUGUAAAGCUCUGUUAAUCGGGGCGCGGUACCGGAAUAGAAAGCCACGGCUAACUACGUGCCAGCAGCCGCGGUAAUAC
rnacentral:rRNA from 1 species